UACGAAGGGGGCUAGCGUUGCUCGGAAUCACUGGGCGUAAAGCGCACGUAGGCGGAUCUUUAAGUCAGGGGUGAAAUCCUGGAGCUCAACUCCAGAACUGCCUUUGAUACUGAGGAUCUUGAGUUCGGGAGAGGUGAGUGGAACUGCGAGUGUAGAGGUGAAAUUCGUAGAUAUUCGCAAGAACACCAGUGGCGAAGGCGGCUCACUGGCCCGAUACUGACGCUGAGGCGCGAAAGCG
rnacentral:rRNA from 1 species